CGAAAGAAACUGUUUGCCUUUUGCCCCAUCUUCAAGUAGCGAAGCAGAGAUUGGUAUAAAACAUUCUGAGACAGUGAAAUGAAAGCAGCCAUUUCUUCGUUGAUUAGCUCCACAAAUUUCAACCUCCACCAAUCCCUCUCCCGCUCCAUUUUCCGGCAGCCCUCUGUUCUUCUACCGUCUCAAUUUCCGGCUAUUUCUGCCGCCGCCAAUUGUGUCGGCCUCCGCCAUAAGUUCCGUCUCCACGCCACCAACUCCUCGUCGAUUAUGGCCGCAUCCUUCAAUCCCGAGCAAGCAAGGUCUCCGCCUGCACUUCCCUUGCCGAUCCCUCCGGUCUCCAAGUUUAAAAUCGGGCUAUGCCAAUUGACGGUGACGUCUGAUAAGCAAAGGAAUAUUGAACAUGCUCGUAAGGCCAUUGAGGAGGCUGUGGAAAAGGGCGCCCAGCUUGUUGUCCUGCCAGAAAUAUGGAAUGGUCCUUAUUCAAAUGAUAGCUUCCCAGUUUAUGCCGAGGACAUUGAAGCUGGUGGUGAUGCCUCUCCUUCAACAGCCAUGUUAUCUGAAGUUUCUCGUCGUUUAAAGGUCACGAUAGUCGGUGGGUCAAUAGCAGAGCGCUCAGGGGAUAGAUUGUAUAAUGCCUGUUGUGUUUUUGGUACCGACGGGAAGCUGAAAGCUAAACACAGGAAGAUACAUCUUUUUGAUAUUGAUAUCCCUGGAAAGAUCACUUUUAUUGAGUCUAAGACCCUUACAGCAGGCCAAACACCUACUAUUGUUGACACUGAAGUUGGACRUAUUGGUAUUGGAAUCUGUUAUGACAUUCGGUUUCCAGAACUAGCCAUGAUAUAUGCUGCAAGAGGUGCUCACUUGAUUUGCUAUCCUGGGGCAUUUAACAUGACUACUGGACCACUGCACUGGGAGUUAUUGCAGCGUGCAAGGGCUGCAGAUAAUCAGUUGUAUGUGGCAACCUGUUCACCUGCUCGCGAUGUUGGAGCUGGUUAUGUGGCUUGGGGCCACUCAACCCUUGUUGGGCCGUUUGGGGAAAUGUUGGCUACAACAGAACACGAAGAAGCAAUAAUCAUAGCUGAGAUUGAUUAUUCACUUAUUGAACUUAGAAGGACUAACCUACCAUUACUGAAGCAAAAGCGUGGUGAUCUUUACCAGUUGGUAGAUGUUCAGAGGCUGAAAUCAGAAUGAAAGGCCAGUUUAAUGACAGGCUAUCCCUUGGGUUGAAUGCAAAAGCAGAAACUUGUCUAAAGUGAGUCGUGGACACAGCUUGUGCAGGUGAUGAUCAAAAGCUUUAGUGAGAUUAAUAUGAACUCCAAUGAUCUUUCUUUGUCUGUUUAGAGUUUAGACUAUCCUCUUUUUCGACGUAUCAACAAAAAGACCUUGCAAUCGUAAGGGCUAAGGCGGGCGGUGAAGCAUCUGGAAACCCCCAAAGCUGCUGAAAUGGCCAUGAGAAUCCCAAUCUGGGAGGGGAGACCAGUUGAUGGUGCAGCUUUCUUUCUGUGCUGCCCCUCCUUUAUUUUUUUCUGUCUUGAGAUGAUUCAACAUUUUGGAAACCAGAUAGGGAAAAUCAUGUGCUUUUGGCAAGGAUUAUGGGGACACAUUUCCUUU